GGGAGACGCAUUCCGUGUACUAAUAAGGCGUCUGGAAAAAUGGAAUUACAGUGUGCAGGAAUCCCAUGACCCUCUGCAGCUCCAGCCAUGGCAUGGUUGCUGUUAAAAAUGUUACAGCAGACCUUGAAAUCCUACUUGAUGUUUCUGACGUAGAACCUAGACUUCUUGAUUCCUGAACUUAUCUGCUCUCUUCAGGAAUAGAUCCGGGAGGCCAGAAAACUAACCACCUACCUCUCAUCUUCCUACUCAAGCAGUUGGACCUGGACUGGGGCCAGAAAUUCUAGUCAGCCAUGAGGCUCAUUGCCUACCCUUGGUGCAGAGGCCAGCUCCAGUCCAGGAGUUUCAUCCUUAGCCUCAAGACCCUCUCCCCCAACCCUUCAUUACUCCUUGCUCUGGACCACAGGGUCUUGCUCUGUUCAAGCUAGAGUGUGGUGGUGUGAUCAUAGCUUACUGCAGCCUCAAACUCCUAGACUGAAACCAUCCUCUCACCUCAGGUUUCCAAGUAGGUGGGAACACAGAAGGCCCCCAGGUCCUGCUUCUGCCUUGUCCAUUGUAACUGAGAUCAAAGCCUUCAAGCAGAUAACUGGAGCUCACCCUGCCUGCUGGAUACCUGCUUGCUGUUUCCCAAUACCUCAUAGUUAGACGACGCAUCUUACUAAAGUGAAACAUUCUGUAUCCCUUCAUGAGAACACUCUAGAAAAAUCUAACAAGAGAAGUUUUCCUCUUACUUUUAAAAAACAAGCCUGUCAUUUCUUAAUUUUCUCCCUGGUCCAUUUUCCACCGAUUGUCUUGCUCGGAGUAGCUCUAAGCACUCAAAUAAAGCUCACCAGUAGGGGUAGAUUUGUGAAAUUUCUACAAGCUUCCUCACAGCUUUAUCCUGCUCCUGUCAGCCAUUUCUGCAAGAAAAUGGAUGUUUAAUCAGUGCAAGAGUGCAGUUUAUUAGUCUGGCUCCUCAGCCAUCACCUCCAUUCAGGCUCGAGGAAGACUACAGAAAGAAACCCACAGUGCUGCCAGUGACUGCCCAGGAUGCAGGAAUUUCAACACGAAGCAGCACCUUUAUGAACCAAGCACAGUAUUUAUCUCAAUAUAGCUUUGACUGUAUGGUAAUAAGUAAAUUAUUUCUAAACAUUUGUGACUGAAGAUUGGUACAUGGAAAUGUUUGUGAAAUUAUCUUUUUGAGAGAAUAUCUUAAAAAUUAUUUAGUUCACAAAAUGGAAGAUUGAGGGCAAGUUUAAUAGAAAUGUGAGAACAGCAGUAUCAGCAUCUUUCCUGUUACUCUUCUGAGUCGGAAGGGAGAGAAUGAGCUAAAAUUGUUGCAGAAGGAAUUUGGUGUUGACUUUGGGAAGAAUUUUCUGCUAAUACGUUGAAGUGCUGGAUAACCUUACAGAAGGAGCUUCUGGGUUUCAUUCUACCAACAUCUACUGAACACCUUCUGGAGAUUUUCUGGUUUGUGUCUAAUUCUGUCCUACAGCUAAAUUGGGAAGAUUUCACCCAAAUGCUUUUCCAGAGUCUGGUUUUCCUAAAUUGAAGUGUUGCUAUCUCUUUUUUCAAACUUAACUUUUCUUUUUAUUCUCAGCCACCUAUGAAAUUUCCCUGGGCCAAGGCCUGGAGCCUGCCAUAUGCACACAAAAAAAAGUUUUAAAAAUGAAG
ensembl:lncRNA